rnacentral:rRNA from 1 species
GACGAACGCUGGCGGCGUGCUUAACACAUGCAAGUCGAACGGAAAGGCCCUGCUUUUGUGGGGUGCUCGAGUGGCGAACGGGUGAGUAACACGUGAGUAACCUGCCCUUGACUUUGGGAUAACUUCAGGAAACUGGGGCUAAUACCGGAUAGGAGCUCCUGCUGCAUGGUGGGGGUUGGAAAGUUUCGGCGGUUGGGGAUGGACUCGCGGCUUAUCAGCUUGUUGGGGGGGUAGUGGCUUACCCAGGCUUUGACGGGUAGCCGGCCUGAGAGGGUGACCGGCCACAUUGGGACUGAGAUACGGCCCAGACUCCUACGGGAGGCAGCAGUGGGGAAUAUUGCACAAUGGGCGGAAGCCUGAUGCAGCAACGCCGCGUGCGGGAUGACGGCCUUCGGGUUGUAAACCGCUUUCGCCUGUGACGAAGCGUGAGUGACGGUAAUGGGUAAAGAAGCACCGGCUAACUACGUG